CUUGACAUCCAGAGAACUUGGCAGAGAUGCCUCGGUGCCUUCGGGAACUCUGAGACAGGUGCUGCAUGGCUGUCGUCAGCUCGUGUUGUGAAAUGUUGGGUUAACGUCCGCAACGAGCGCAACCCCUAUCCUUUGUUGCCAGCGAUUCGGUCGGGAACUCAAAGGAGACUGCCGGUGAUAAACCGGAGGAAGGUGGGGAUGACGUCAAGUCAUCAUGGCCCUUACGAGUAGGGCUACACACGUGCUACAAUGGCGUAUACAAAGAGAAGCGACCUCGCGAGAGCAAGCGGACCUCAUAAAGUACGUCGUAGUCCGGAUUGGAGUCUGCAACUCGACUCCAUGAAGUCGGAAUCGCUAGUAAUCGUAGAUCAGAAUGCUACGGUGAAUACGUUCCCGGGCCUUGUACACACCGCCCGUCACACCAUGGGAGUGGGUUGCAAAAGAAGUAGAUAGCUUAACCUUCGGGAGGGCGUUUACCACUUUGUGAUUCAUGACUGGGGUGAAGUCGUAACAAGGUAAGCGUAGCGAG
rnacentral:rRNA from 1 species